rnacentral:rRNA from 1 species
GAUGAACGCUGGCGGCGUGCCUAAUACAUGCAAGUCGAGCGAACAGACGAGGCGCUUGCUCCUCUGACGUUAGCGGCGGACGGGUGAGUAACACGUGGAUAACCUACCUAUAAGACUGGGAUAACUUCGGGAAACCGGAGCUAAUACCGGAUAAUAUAUUGAACCGCAUUGUUCAAUAGUGAAAGACGGUUUUGCUGUCACUUAUAGAUGGAUCCGCGCCGCAUUAGCUAGUUGGUAAGGUAACGGCUUACCAAGGCAACGAUGCGUAGCCGACCUGAGAGGGUGAUCGGCCACACUGGAACUGAGACACGGUCCAGACUCCUACGGGAGGCAGCAGUAGGGAAUCUUCCGCAAUGGGCGAAAGCCUGACGGAGCAACGCCGCGUGAGUGAUGAAGGUCUUCGGAUCGUAAAACUCUGUUAUUAGGGAAGAACAAAUGUGUAAGUAACUAUGCACGUCUUGACGGUACCUAAUCAGAAAGCCACGGCUAACUACGUG